rnacentral:rRNA from 1 species
AUUGAACGCUGGCGGCAGGCCUAACACAUGCAAGUCGAGCGGAUGAAGGGAGCUUGCUCCUGGAUUCAGCGGCGGACGGGUGAGUAAUGCCUAGGAAUCUGCCUGGUAAUGGGGGAUAACGUCCGGAAACGGGCGCUAAUACCGCAUACGUCCUGAGGGAGAAAGUGGGGGAUCUUCGGACCUCACGCUAUCAGAUGAGCCUAGGUCGGAUUAGCUAGUUGGUGGGGUAAAGGCCUACCAAGGCGACGAUCCGUAACUGGUCUGAGAGGAUGAUCAGUCACACUGGAACUGAGACACGGUCCAGACUCCUACGGGAGGCAGCAGUGGGGAAUAUUGGACAAUGGGCGAAAGCCUGAUCCAGCCAUGCCGCGUGUGUGAGAAGGUCUUCGGAUUGUAAAGCACUUUAAGUUGGGAGGAAGGGCAGUAAGUUAAUACCUUGCUGUUUUGACGUUACCAACAGAAUAAGCACCGGCUAACUUCGUG